UACGUAGGGGGCAAGCGUUUGUCCGGAAUCAUUGGGCGUAAAGCGCGUGUAGGCGGCCCGGUAAGUCCGCUGUGAAAGUCGGGGGCUCAACCCUCGAAAGCCGGUGGAUACUGUCGGGCUCGAGUACGGGAGAGGCGAGUGGAAUUCCUGGUGUAGCGGUGAAAUGCGCAGAUAUCAGGAGGAACACCAAUGGCGAAGGCAGCUCGCUGGGACGUGACUGACGCUGAGACGCGAAAGCGUGGGGAGCAAACAGG
rnacentral:rRNA from 1 species